rnacentral:rRNA from 1 species
CAGCAGUGGGGAAUAUUGCACAAUGGGCGAAAGCCUGAUGCAGCCAUGCCGCGUGUGUGAAGAAGGCCUUCGGGUUGUAAAGCACUUUCAGCAGUGAGGAAGGCAUUAAGAUUAAUACUCUUAGUGUUUGACGUUAGCUGCAGAAGAAGCACCGGCUAACUCCGUGCCAGCAGCCGCGGUAAUACGGAGGGUGCGAGCGUUAAUCGGAAUUACUGGGCGUAAAGCGCAUGCAGGUGGUGGAUUAAGUCAGAUGUGAAAGCCCGGGGCUCAACCUCGGAACUGCAUUUGAAACUGGUUCACUAGAGUACUGUAGAGGGGGGUAGAAUUUCAGGUGUAGCGGUGAAAUGCGUAGAGAUCUGAAGGAAUACCGGUGGCGAAGGCGGCCCCCUGGACAGAUACUGACACUCAGAUGCGAAAGCGUGGGGAGCAAACAGGAUUAGAUACCCUGGUAGUCCACGCCGUAAACGAUGUCUACUUGGAGGUUGUGGCCUUGAGCCGUGGCUUUCGGAGCUAACGCGUUAAGUAGACCGCCUGGGGAGUACGGUCGCAAGAUUAAAACUCAAAUGAAUUGACGGGGGCCCGCACAAGCGGUGGAGCAUGUGGUUUAAUUCGAUGCAACGCGAAGAACCUUACCUACUCUUGACAUCCAGAGAAUUCCAGAGA